rnacentral:lncRNA from 1 species
UUCUCUGUGUAGGUUUGUAGGUUCUGGAUGGCCACUUCAUCAAUAGGUUCAACAAAAUACAAAACCUCAAUAUCUUUUUGAACCAACCUUUCCAAGAAUGGAGCACUUCUUGCAUUUUUCAGACUGUCUGUGGCCAAGUAAUAGAUGGCCUUCUGGGUCUCAGGCAUGUUUUCAACAUAUUCAUCUAAACUCGUCAGUUCUUCCUCACUUUUGAAAUGUAAAACCGUAACAGAGGUGUUAUGCACUUGCAUUGCUGUCUAUCCCAGUGAAAACUAAUUUUACCAAGUAUCGGUAAUUGACAUUACUGCCCUUCCGUUACGAACUCCGUCAGUGGUACGGUACAACACAGGUAUUACAGCUUUUGCCCUAAAUUAUUUGCUGAAAAUUACCACAAUUUUCGUUGAAAUCAAAAUUUCAAACCUUGUUUAUAGAACAAGGGGAGAAGAUUUACCUAUAGUCUAUAGGGCUUAUUUAGGCAGACAGAAAGAUAUCUGCGUUAGUUUGAGAUUUCAUGCCUAGACUGCUAGACAUAUGGUUUGGCUCAAUGGUACUAUUUUUAUUUGGAUAAUUUUGCUUAUACAAACUUAUUUUCAAUUGAAGUUUAAGUUACUAUAGUCAUGUUCACCUAUAUAUUUUUAGUAGAGUUGUUGAUAAAGUAGUAUGGGGUUCACAUCCAAAACCAAAAGAGCGGGUUACACACGUUCACGUGUGAAGCCCAAUGGCCACACGAACUCCACGUCACCCAAAUGUUGUCCACGUGUUAGGCUUGAAAAUUCGCCAUACGUGCGGGGGAGUGUUGAGAUAUCAAUCCCACAUCGGGAAUAUGAGACAUUGUUUGUGGGUUUAUAAAGGUUUAGGCCUCUCCACCCAUUGACAAUUGGUUUUGAAUGUGAACCUCAUACUUUAUCAUGGUAUCAGAGCGAGUUACCCACGUCCACGUGUGAAGCCCAAUGGCCACACGAACUUCACGUCACCCUAAUGUUGUCCACGUGUUAGGCUUGAAAAUUCGCCACACGUGCGGGGGCGUGUUGAGAUAUCAAUCUCACAUCAGAAAUAUGAGAUCUUGCCUGUGGGUUUAUAAGAGUUUGGGCCACUCCACCCAUUGUUAAUUGGUUUUGGAUAUGAACCCCAGACUACUUUAAGAUUUUUAUUGAGAUUAUUGUGAAAAGUACCAAAAUUUUCGUUAGAAUCAAGAUUUCAAAACAAGAAGAUUUACUACAAGAUUAUGCUGAAAUUUUAUAGAGACUACUUUGAACUGUCAAGUACCAAAAUUUUCAUUGAAAUCAAGAUUUCAAACCUUGCUCAUUGAACAAGAAGACUCACCUACAACUUAUAUAUGAACAGAUCAUUGGGCAGCAACACAAAAAACUCUGGGUUAGUGUGAGAUUUUAUGUCUAGACCUAUGGUUUGUCUCCAUGGUACUAUUUAUGGAUACAAUUUUUAAUCUUAUGGAAACUGUUACUUUAGCUUCAUUGUCUAGGCUAGGAACGUAAGUACGCAAAUGAACACAUUUGCAAACUAGUGGCCAGUCGAUUCAUUUGCAGACUUGCGGUAAGUCGAUUUUUCUCUAAGCAAUGAGCAGUGAGGUGAAAUAUUAAUCGUUAGCCUCCUUAAAAUGAGAGAUUUGUUACAGAAAAUAUGAUAUGGAACAAGGUCUACUCAUUCUCAUUAGAAACCCUCUUUAUAUAGAGGUGAAUUUCAACGGUAAUUGCACGCACAUAAUGACGAUAAUCAAUGGUAAUAACAAUGUACAUAAUGACUGAUAUAAUUAAUUGAGCCGUUACAUCCGUUAAUCACUAAUGCCUUAAUCUAUUCUCGUCAGUUACUUUGACGAAGGCACACAUAAGGUAUUUUUCCUUCAACACUCCCCCUUGUGCCAAGUCAAAGUUAAAACAGUGCAUAUGGUGUUGCCUCCAUUAAAAACCUUGNNNNNNNNNNNNNNNNNNNNNNNNNNNNNNNNNNNNNNNNNNNNNNNNNNNNNNNNNNNNNNNNNNNNNNNNNNNNNNNNNNNNNNNNNNNNNNNNNNNNNCAUCUACAUAAACAAUAGCAAAGAUAUAUUAAUUACGUAGUCGCAAAGACAUCCACGUAAAUUAUUUUCCAAGAAUGAUAAUUUAGAUUUCAAUACCAAGAUUCAUAAUGGUCACACUAUUUUCGAUGCUUUGUGAAAAUACUUUAUCACAAUAAUUUAGAUGUUAUGAAUGUACUUUUCAUAACAACCUAAUUUAUAGGACAUGCAAAAUGGUAAUAUUUACUAAAAUAAUUAAAAAAAUAGUCGUAAUAUAUACAAUCAGUUUAAUAGUAAAACUAGAUUUCACAUUUUACCAUGUCAUUCAUUAGCACCAUAGUAAAUAGUUAAUAGUAAUAGUAACUAUUAAUUACCACACAGUAAGUUAAAGAGUUACCUCAGCACCAGUGAGGUGAAAAAUAAUUCGAAUCGGGUUAAAACGCGGGUCGGGCUCUGAGAAUCCGGGUCGAGCUUCUAUGUUCGGGUCGCCGGCCGGGAUGGGCAGAUCGACGCUGGGCUUGUGAAAGGAGCUAGUGCGGCGGCGUUGCGGAGCGAGCGCUGGACAGAGCAAGGCGGUGCGUUCGGGGUUUGGGGUUUGCGUCACCGGGCUUGAUCGGUCGAAGCAGAACCGGCGCUCUUCGGAUCUGGGCUGCUCGCCGGGGUGCACAAACGUCGUUGGUGGCGCGCUCGGAUCGGCUCGGGCUCGGCUCGGGGCUGGUUGGAUCUCAGCAGUAGGGCUAAGGGUACACCGGUCCGCCGGUGAGGAGAGAAAGGCAGUGAUGUUACUGUCUAGGUGGGAAAAACGGCUAGGGGUUUAUUUUUUUUUUUGUUUGGUCCGAAAACUACAAACGUAAACUAGAGCAACGUGUCUGAUAACGUGUUACAGAAAAUAUGAUAUGGAACAAGGUCUACUCAUUCUCAUUAGAAACCCUCUUUAUAUAGAGGUGAAUUUCAACGGUAAUUGCACGCACAUAAUGACGAUAAUCAAUGGUAAUAACAAUGUACAUAAUGACUGAUAUAACUAAUUGAGCCGUUACAUCCGUUAAUCACUAAUGCCUUAAUCUAUUCUCGUCAGUUACUUUGACGAAGGCACACAUAAGGUAUUUUUCCUUCAACAAGAUUUAGUUUGUCAAUAAUGAGUUAUAUAUACUUUCCAGAGGCUGGGAGAUAGAUUUCAUAUCUCUAUCCUAAAGAAAGAAGUAAAAAUUACGGCUUCAUGUCAUUUUCUUUUAUUAACUAUUUGUCUUUUAACUUUAGUUAAUUACGGCUUGUUGCGAAAAAUUACGGCUUUAUGCCGCAAAAUAGCCUACUAGGUUUCGGUGGUACCCAAUGUUCUUGGUCUCGGUCUAUGCACCUUGUGUACCUUAUUUGCUUUAGAUAGGCAGCCCUAGGGGUGGGUAUAAAAUCCCGUAAUCCCGAACCCGUCCCGAAAUUUACCGGGACGGGACAGGAUUUAAAUCUCAAAACGUUAGGCCCGUCUCGUCCCGUCUCGUCUCUAUACAACGGGACGGGACACGGGACGGAUAAUUCAAGUCCCGUUUAGGCCCGUCCCAUCCCGUUAUUUUAAUAAUUGAUUAUUUAUUGAUUAAAAUGUGAUUUGAGCCUUUCAUUUAAGUGUUUUCAUCUUAGCUUUUUGUUUCUUUAAGUUAAUUGACUGUCUCCAAUUCACUAACAAUGAUGUUUAAUACUUUAAUUUGUUGAUUGUUGUAGACUCUUUUCUUACACCGUAGUGGUGAUGACAUGUUUAGAGAAAGUAAACAGUAUAAACUCUCUUAUUACACCAUUUUGUACUUGUAAAUAUGUUACAAGUACUUGUUAAUACUUAAUAAGUAAAUAACACUAUAAAACUAUGAAACUUUUUUUUUUACUUACAAGUUUAUUUUCAACUUUUUUUAUUUGGGACUGGGCCCGUCUCGUCUCAUCCCGUCCCGUCCCAACCGGGAUAGGGCCCGGGUGGGAUGAAAUCUAAAAAUGGCAAAUCUCGUCCCGUCUCGUCCUUUUUUCAAUGUCCGGGACGGGCCGUGGGAUUACCUCUAUCCCGUCACAUCCCGUCCCAUGCCCAGCCCUAAGCAGCCCGUCUUUUGAUUUAUCAAAUGGGCGCAACCUUCUAGUGACAGAACAAGACUUAGUGUCGUCGGGUUUAUUUUGUAGCGACAACAUAUUAGGAAAACUACAUUAUUGGAUAUUCUUAUGAUCUUUCUAUUAUGUCACCGCUAUUACAAAUCAAAUAGAGUCGUCAUUAGAGUAAUACUAUUUGCUAGUUGAUGUUUGUUUAAGUAUAUGUACUUUGUAAUUAUUCUUGAUAUUAUGUCGGGAUUUCAUUGUAACAAGGGAUUUCAAAGAAAAGUAGUGGUUUUAUCUUCAAAUAAAAUGCUUCAGAAAAACUUCAUAAAUCAUAGGUACCAACAGACAACAGUACACCUUUCUCAAAGUUGCGACGGAAAAAGAUUAACCUACAUUAGAGCCCAAUUAUAUUUAGUGGUCUAAAUUGAUUUCUUCUUUGUAACACUAAUCGAUAGGGCCCCGAUUCUAGUACUUCCCAGUUCCCCAAAUCCAUUUUUGAACUUGGAGCAAAAUGCUUGAAUUGUCUCGUCUUUUUUUUUUUUUUUUUCGCAUGAAGAAAGUGUACCCCUAGCUACUACCGGCCAAUAUUGAGAUUGACGAUAUUGCCGUCAUGGCUAUAAUAUUGUGAAUGGAUCUAUGGAGGAAUCAUAAACAGUCGACAUGCAUACCUAUG